UGAGGAAUAUUGGUCAAUGGGCGCGAGCCUGAACCAGCCAAGUCGCGUGAAGGAUGAAGGUUCUAUGGAUUGUAAACUUCUUUUAUGGGGGAAUAAAGUGCGGGACGAGUCCUGUUUUGUAUGUACCUCAUGAAUAAGCAUCGGUUAACUCCGUGCCAGCAGCCGCGGUAAUACGGAGGAUGCGAGCGUUAUCCGGAUUCAUUGGGUUUAAAGGGUGCGUAGGUGGCCUUUUAAGUCAGCGGUGAAAGUUUGUGGCUCAACCAUAAAAUUGCCGUUGAAACUGGAGGGCUUGAGUAUGUUUGGGGCAGGCGGAAUGUGUGGUGUAGCGGUGAAAUGCAUAGAUAUCACGCAGAACUCCGAUCGCGAAGGCAGUUUGCCAA
rnacentral:rRNA from 1 species